AUUGAACGCUGGCGGCAGGCCUAACACAUGCAAGUCGAGCGGAUGAAGGGAGCUUGCUCCUGGAUUCAGCGGCGGACGGGUGAGUAAUGCCUAGGAAUCUGCCUGGUAGUGGGGGAUAACGUCCGGAAACGGGCGCUAAUACCGCAUACGUCCUGAGGGAGAAAGUGGGGGAUCUUCGGACCUCACGCUAUCAGAUGAGCCUAGGUCGGAUUAGCUAGUUGGUGGGGUAAAGGCCUACCAAGGCGACGAUCCGUAACUGGUCUGAGAGGAUGAUCAGUCACACUGGAACUGAGACACGGUCCAGACUCCUACGGGAGGCAGCAGUGGGGAAUAUUGGACAAUGGGCGAAAGCCUGAUCCAGCCAUGCCGCGUGAGUGAAGAAGGUCUUCGGAUUGUAAAGCACUUUAAGUUGGGAAGAAGGGCAGUAAGUUAAUACCUUGCUGUUUUGACGUUACCAACAGAAUAAGCACCGGCUAACUUCGUG
rnacentral:rRNA from 1 species